UACGUAGGGACCGAGCGUUGUCCGGAAUCAUUGGGCGUAAAGAGCGUGUAGGCGCCACUUAAGUCCUGCGUGAAAUCCUUGCGGCUCAACCGCAAGCGGUCGUGGGAAACUGGGUGGCUAGAGUGCGGGAGAGGAGAGUGGAAUUCCUGGUGUAGCGGUGAAAUGCGCAGAUAUCAGGAGGAACACCAGUGGCGAAGGCGGCGCUCUGGGCCGGUACUGACGCUGAGGAGCGAAGCGUGGGGAGCGAACAGG
rnacentral:rRNA from 1 species